AGCAGUCGCCGCGGUAAUACGGAGGAUCCAAGCGUUAUCCGGAAUUAUUGGGUUUAAAGGGUGCGUAGGCGGCAUGCUAAGUCAGGGGUGAAAGACGGUGGCUCAACCAUCGCAGUGCCUUUGAUACUGGUGUGCCUGAAUGUACAUGAGGUAGGCGGAAUGAGACAAGUAGCGGUGAAAUGCAUAGAUAUGUCUCAGAACACCAAUUGCGAAGGCAGCUUACUAAGGUAUGAUUGACGCUGAUGCACGAAAGCGUGGGGAUCAAACAGGAUUAGAUACCCCCGUAGUCCCUGUCUCUUAUAU
rnacentral:rRNA from 1 species